rnacentral:lncRNA from 1 species
CUGGGGUAUCUCUCAUCUAUCAGAGUUCAUUUGAAUCAGUGAUCCCACUGAUUAAAAAGAAAAAGUUUACAAAACACUGUAUUUCACCAUGUGUCUUUCCCUGUGUUUUUCAGGGAAGCCCGGGCUCCUGCAAUUCUGCCCACAUCUAGGAAGUCAAGAGACUGAAACCAGUGGUCGCACAAAUAAAGCUGAGACUCAGCCUAGGUGGUCCAGACCACGUCCUGGCAGCUCGAGGGUGCCUGGGGCGCCAAUGAGUUCAAGAGAAGCAGGCAGACAGUGACCAAGUACAGACCGAAACCACCUCCAACACUGACCAAGAGAAUUUCAUUACCCUUGCAGGCAGCCCCACAGUGCCACCAUCCCGAAUGAUCACAAGAGAGAAUCAAAAUACUUCCAUUCUGGUCAUUCCAUUCCAUUCAUAUCGAAUCAACUGUACCCCAGGGAUGGCUACUUGCCUUGUGCAUCUACUUCUGGAUGCUUCUCCAUUUCGCAAAGGACAAGUGGCCACAACUGUGCUUUUCUGUGUCAUGCAAGGGCAGAGGAAUUUCCCUUAUAUCUGUCAACCAAAGUUGGCAGUUGGAGGAGAAUUCUCUCAAUGGAUUAAAUAAUCCUAGUUGCCACAGUUUCUCAUUAUUGCAUCCAUGAGUCCUGCUUUACCUUCAAACACAGUUUGGCCUUCAUUGGCCCUCUUAAUUACAUAUUUGAAGACAGGCGACACUGAAGUUGGGACUCACUUAGCUAAUGAGAUUGGACCAAAUCAUGGCCCAGGGUGAGUUGGUUUGCUAAUUUCUUAGAAUUACUAGUGCUAGUCUGGAAACUUUAAGAGUGAUGUAAAAGAGGCAAAAUUAAGGUAGUUUGCCUUUAGUUCCACUUGAGUUUGGGAACCUGGCAUUAAAGAGGCCAACCAGAAUCCAAAUGAAUAUUAAUUUAACAAUUAAUGAGCAGAAUACAGAAUGCGGUAGGGAGGGGGAGCAUCUUCAGAAAGGCUAUCAGUGCAUUUUUGUACUUUCCACCAUUCUCCAAACUUUAAUUUGUGAAGACAUGUUUCAUCACAUUUUCAAAUUAGCCUAGAUUCUAUAAAUUUUUCUUUUUCAUUAAUUUUGCCUGCAAGGUAUAUACAGCUGCCAAAUAUUUCAUGUAAUAAUUUUAUAUCACCAAUUCACAUAUAAUAAAAGAAAAAUAGCAUUCUUCUCA